CCUACGGGAGGCAGCAGUGAGGAAUAUUGGUCAAUGUGCGGAAGCCUGAACCAGCCAAGUAGCGUGCGGGAUGAAGGCCCUACGGGUCGUAAACCGCUUUUGCACGGGGAUAACACCCUCCACUUGUGGAGGUCUGCAGGUACCGUGCGAAUAAGGGCCGGCUAAUUCCGUGCCAGCCGCCGCGGUAAUACGGAAGGCCCGAGCGUUCUCCGGAUUCAUUGGGCUUAAAGGGAGCGUAGGCGGGCGUUCAAGUCAGCUGUAAACUCGCGCGGCUCACCCGCGCCCCGAAGUUGAAACUGGACGCAUUGAGUUCACAACAGGCAGGCGGAAUUCGUGGUGUAGCGGGGAAAUGCAUAGAGAUCACGAGGAACCCCGAUUGCGAAGGCAGCCUGCCGGGGUGCGACUGACGCUGAGGCUCGAAGGUGCGGGUAUCAAACAGGAUUAGAUACCCCUGUAGUC
rnacentral:rRNA from 1 species